UGUCGUAAAGUUUUCAAAUACCGUCAGGUAAUCGAUUAUUGAUUCUGUAUAAUCGAUUGUUUUGAUUAAAAUCCGGAAAAGAUUUUUUGAACGUUAUUGCGUAAUCGAUUGUUGAGAAAUUAUGAGAGAAUGUUUAAUGUUGGCUGGCCUAGCUCAGUUAGUAGGCACCAUCAUGACUCUCAAUGGUGGGAAAUCCGGAUUGUGACAAGUUGGUAUCAGAG
rnacentral:lncRNA from 1 species